GGGGGGGGGGGGGGGGGGGGGGGGGGGGGGCGGGGGGGGGGGGGAGGCCGGGCGGUUGUGGGGGGCUCGAGUGGCGAACGGGUGAGUAACACGUGGGUAACCUGCCCUUGACUGUGGGAUAACUUCAGGAAACUGGGGCUAAUGCCGGAUAGGAGCUCCGGCUGCAUGGGGGGGGUUGGAAAGUUUCGGCGGUUGGGGCUGGCCUCGGGGCCUAUCAGCUUGUUGGUGGGGUAUUGGCUUACCAAGGCUUUGACGGGUAGCCGGCCUGAGAGGGGGACCGGCCACAUUGGGACUGAGAUACGGCCCAGACUCCUACGGGAGGAAGCAGUGGGGAAUAUUGCACAAUGGGCGGAAGCCUGAUGCAGCAACGCCGCGUGCGGGAUGACGGCCUUCGGGUUGUAAACCGCUUUCGCCUGUGACGAAGCGUGAGGGACGGUAAUGGGUAAAGAAGCACCGGCUAACUACGUG
rnacentral:rRNA from 1 species